rnacentral:misc_RNA from 1 species
AACUUUCAGCAAUGGAUCACUUGGCGCUCGCAUCGAUGAAGAACGCAGCGAAAUGCGAUAAGUAAUGUGAAUUGCAGAUUUUUCAGUGAAUCAUCGAAUCUUUGAACGCACCUUGCGCUCCUUGGUAUUCCGAGGAGCAUGCCUGUUUGAGUAUCAUUAAAUUCUCAACUCCAAGGGUUUCACGACCUUUCGGAGAUUGGACUUGGAGGUGCCGGCCGUGUACGGUCGGCUCCUCUCAAAUGCAUCGGCGGAAUUCAACCUUUGGGCUUCCGGACGUCAGUGUGAUAAUCAUGUUGCGCUGUCGUUUGACCCUCAGAGUCCGCUUAUAAUGGUCUUCGGACAAAUCGUCAUCAAAUUUGAUCUCAAAUCAGGUAGGACUACCCGCUGAACUUAAGCAUAUCAAUAAGCGGAGGCU